CUUCAUUUAGUUAUUUGCCACAUGUUUUUAUGACACACAUAGCUACAAGGGGCAGCCGCUCUGUACCAAAUAAUAGUUAGAAUUCUUUUAUAAUCAAAUUACUUAUACAAGCUAGUGGUGCAGAUGGAGCUUUUUUGUGAUAUAUAAUGGUGGGGAAACAGAUUUGCCUGCUGUGGUAUAUGGUAACAAGUGACCUACUACACGAGGCAUGGUAGUGAAAAGUCACAGUACCUGACAUGGAGCUAUGUGCUUCAUAGACAUGCAUUCCUUGUAGAUUGGUUGGAUUGCUCGACACAAGGAUAUAUACAGCUGGUUCUCAGAUCAGAACUUUAGAAUCCCACCUACUGCUUGCAUUCACAAGGUGUUGUGGUUUGCAGGGCUCACAGAAAAUGUAUAUGCUUGUGUUUCCUGUUUAUUACUGCAAACUUUACAUCAUGUAUUAUAGCCCUUCCUAUUUUUACUUGAGUUUUAUUAUUUUACUUCUUCAGUUUUCUUACUUUAAUUUUGUAGCUUGAACUUACAUUUUUUUUCUAUUUAAUUCAAGUGCAAUUUGUUAUUUUCAUUAAUAGAUAAAACUAUAUCAAACCUACAAAUUUAGAAUUAAAAACAUUUGUGUACUGAGAUACAUAUUAUAUCAGUUGCAAUCAAAACUGUUGUUCGUGUGUUGCUCCGGUCUAUUUAGCAACACCUUACAUCUUGGUCUAAGUGUCAGUUUUUACACCUGCUGCAUUUGUCGGUUGUCAUUGAGCAAUUCAUGUCAUGAAAUAUCCUCUGUACAAAGUGUUAGAAUACAGAGGAGGAUUCUGAGCAACCUCGCCUGUUUACACAUCUAUUGUUAAAAGUGCUUGUGAAAAAGACUAGAAGAAUUCUGUUAUUUCAUUUGCCAGGUGGUGAGAGAU